GACAGGUGGGCCCCACAUGCAGGGACGCAACCAACGCGCACCGCGCAAACCACCAAGCCUCAGAUCCAGAGUCGCCGCUUCCGCUUCCUCGCGCAUGGCCACCAUUGGCGGCGGCGGCGCCAUCGUGGCCAAUGGCAAUGCCGUCGACGCCAGCAGCACCACCAUCGGCUGCUCCGCGGGGCGUACAACUGGUGAAUCCUCAACGAAGGAAGCAGGCGGAGGAGGAGGAGAAGGGAGCGAGAGUGGCGGCGGCGGGACCGUGUCAGCAUCAGGGUAGAUGGGGGAGACGUGGCCGGGCGAUAGGAUACAACGCGGGUCGAUGAGCCCGCCGAGUCCGGCCAGCCUGGACGAGGUCGGCGAGCCGUAGAAUGACAACGCCGCCGACGAGGGCGACUUGGGUGGCAACUUCCUCCCCUCCUCGCCGCCGCCGCGGAGGACGCGGCUGAGGACAAGAGCGGGCGAAGGUCAUGGCUAUGAGGCGCGCCGCCGCCGCACCUUCGAUGGGCACGCGAGCCCUGCUGCGCCGCGUCCACCGCCAUGUGGUGUGGUGUGGCGCCCUGUCGCAGCGUGGGAUCUAGAGCCGAGCAAGCUGCUGCCUACUGGUGGAGGUGGGACGUGGCGUGCGGCGGCGCUAGGGUUCAGAUGAGGAUUGGGUGGAGGAGGAGGCGGCGCCAUCGGCCAUCGUGAAGACCAUGUCCAAGAUCACCUACAGAAGGACAAGAUGGACAUCGGGGGCUGAACAUCACCUCUGACUCGUUCGGCGGUGCUGCGUCGCGCCGUCACCCAGCCUAUUCGCUCGCUCGCCUGCGCCAUUGCCCCUCGUCGGCAAUAGAUCACCAGUCCCAGCCCCGGCGGCCGUUCGCGAGGCAGGAUCUCGAUGCAGGAAGCUUGGUUUGUGUGAAUUGCAGAUUGUGCCUAUUCCUACAUGGCGGUGCAAGUCUCCUUAUCAUUACUAAACUGCCAUGCUAACAAGUGUCAAAUUAUGUGACUUUAUGUAUAUAUAUUGGAUUCUGAUACUGAAUCACUUAAGGACCAAAAUCAUUAACUCUCCAUUUGUAUAUCCCUCAUCCUGAUAUGUAACCUAUUCUUGGCCUCCUGAUGCAUUGGUUAUCCUGCACUUUCUGCAUAUAGUUAGAGAACUAACAUGUUACUCAUUUUGUUCUGCAGCUAUUUGGAGAGCACAAAGACAGAGAACUUAUUUGUGUAGAUAUUUGGAUGGCAGACAGUUGUCUACCAAACCCAAUAUGUGCAUCCGAAAAAUUAAAGUGGUACGGUGAAUUUGGCAACAAAUUAUUUAUUUCUUAUUCAGUUUCUUGUAUAAAGAUGUCAAUGCUCUAUCAUCCUUACCUAUAGAUUGAUUUAGCUUCUUCUAUAAAGGUGUCAAUGCUCUGUCCUUACUUGUAGGCAAGUGACCUGUUUCUUUGUUGGGAUUAGCCAUGAAGACAAUUCCUGCCAUUUUGAGUCUGACCAAAUAUAUGCCAAUCAGUAUGUUUAUCUCCUUCAUGUAGAUUGUUGUGGUGUUAUUACCCACAUUUUUUGUCUCCAAAUGGGGGUGACUCAACUUGGUGAUGAUAGGAUUCCACUAUUGAGCCCAUCUCGAGUUAUAAACAUUCUUAACUGUCAAUUACUGCUACUAUAGUUUACAUGUGCACUGAUCUAUUCUGUAAGUAGAUACUCCUAGGUCUGUAAUAUGUGAGCAUCGCAUUGCCUGCACUCCGGUUCUAGAUGUUGUGAAUUAGUGAAGCCUGGAACUAAUGUGGUUAAUUUCAGCCUUACUACUGUCUGCUUCAGUUCUAGGUUCUAGAUGUACAUCACAGUAUUUUUGCUUAGUAAUGAGGCAUUUUAAACUUGGAUCAACCACAAAACAGUGGAAAAGGGGGCAAUACCUGAAUGUGUUUCUUUGAAGCUUUAGUUUCCUUAUUGGCCUCCAGCCCCAAAGAUACCUCAUUGCUGAGUCACGUAGCCUAUUCUUGACAGAAUUCCCUAACCAUUUUAGUUUAAGGUUGCCCAUGCUGCUCCACUGUUGUGCUCAGUAAUUUGAAGGACAAAAGGAUAUCAAGCAGGAAAAAAGGCAAUGACAUUGAGCUGUAACAGUAGGUAGCCAAGUUUCAAAAAAUUAUAUGUUAUAGCUUAUUCUUAACCGGUCAGAAGAAACUCUCCCCUUGGUUGAUGCAGUUUGGAAGAGAUUCUUUGUUCUGUUAUAGGAAUGGAUGCCCAAGUGUCUUAUAUGUGUUUCAUUCCGAGUGAAAAUUGCAUCCAAAGUUCAAAAGUCAGUUGUCCAAUCAGGUGAAAUAAGCCGUUGUGCUUUCUCUAUUUGUUUGGAUCAAAGGAUUAAUGUUAAGGCUGUGGAAAAUCAUUCCAACGAUAUGUAAUCAACGGACCCCUUUUUCAAAGUUGCAUUCACCACUUCUGUGAAGGCAGCUUCUCAAGAAUUAAAUUGUCGGUCAGCCAUGAUCUUCAGGCUCCAUUGUUGGUUGCAAGGGUAAGCAUUAUAUUAUUGUUUCUUUGACAUUUCAAAUACUCAGGGAGGUGCGCAGCUAGAGCAAAGGUGAAUGUUAGGAUCCCAACAUCAAUAGAUGGCACAAUGGCAAUUCUGAAUAGCCAGGAACUCAAUCUGACAUCCUAUGGCAACUCAAGUGCUUUCUUGAUGGUGACCAAACUCUGAGUUGAUGAUAGCUUGACCUCCAAUUCUUCAUUACCCUUAGAACUGAGGAACCGAAAGGUUGAAAUGGAGCUUUCAUUUCAGAUGACCGGCCAGAGUACGCGUACAGCCAAGCGGUGCUGUUCGGGCCACACCUGCUGGCCUGACACACGGCAAGCUGCCAGUGACAGACAACAACCACUUUAUAAACUAUGGCUGAGCAUAUAAGAAUUGAACGCUCAUUCCUCAUUCGCUCAACUCACAACUCAUCAUCCUUAGAGCCUUGGCAGGCGGACCCUCAUCUCGUUGGUGUGGUUUCAUGCAAAACUUCUCUUUAUGUGUGUAUUCAAUCUAUUAAUAUUUUUGCAUUAUAUUUAAUUUGUAUCAAAUAACUAGACUGUGAAUGCUUAAUUGUGGUCUGAAUUUGUAGAAU